UACGUAGGGUGCAAGCGUUGUCCGGAAUUAUUGGGCGUAAAGAGCUCGUAGGCGGUUUGUCGCGUCUGCUGUGAAAUCUGGGGGCUCAACCCCCAGCCUGCAGUGGGUACGGGCAGACUAGAGUGCGGUAGGGGAGAUUGGAAUUCCUGGUGUAGCGGUGGAAUGCGCAGAGUAUCAGGAGGAACACCGAGUGGCGAAGGCAG
rnacentral:rRNA from 1 species